GAUAAUAAGGUUGAAACCUUGCGGCGGAACCAGCAACAGGCUAUUUGCCCCUUCUUUUCGCCUCAUUUCUUCCGUCUUUGAUGCGCACCCUCUCUUCCGUCCUCACACUUUUCUUAAGGUCCCCCCAACUCCUCAACUCUCCUCCCGACCGCUCGACUCCUCGCCUCAGGACAGCUCGAAACUCUUCUCCUGACAACUCGAAUCCUUUCGACGACUGCACUUCUCUUCUCCAGACGGCUACGCUAGUCAAUCGACGUCACCGCUCUACUCCUCUCGAAGGCUACUGUAAUACAUUUGCCUUUGCUCUUUAUCUGUAUCUAUCCCCAACAUCAGAGGGAUUUCGAGGUUCAAUGGUGGCUUGUUAAUAUGGCUGGUCUCUUGCUUAAUAUGGGUCUCUUGUUCAAUGGUGGCUGGUCUAACCUUUUAUGAACAGAGACUUAAUGUAAUUAGUAACUUAAUGGCUAAUCUAACCUUUCAUUGCUUCUUUCAAAUCCAUUAGUAGUUUUGAAAAUCUAGCUAUAAGUAUUCAUUUCUCUGCCAUAACAAGCCUUUGAAAUAUAUUUGUGCUCGUCGUUAUUUCUUAUUUACAGGAUGUCGGUUGAAAAAGUAUCAUCCAAUCCUAUUAACACUGCAUAUGCAUCUACUUCAAAUAUUGUAAUGACUGAUGGUACUGAAGCAACCGAGACUUUGUUAAAUUGUUAUUCUUUGUUUUCUCUUGUGCAUAUGUUCGGUAAAUGAGUCGAGCUCGAACUUGUAAACGAGCUGGAUCGGAUUCGAAUGAAUUGAACUCGAGUCGAGCUGGAGCUCGUUUACGAGCCUAACAAUCUGAAUAGAAAUCAAGCUGAGCUAGGGCUCGUUAAGGUUCGUAAACAAACUGCAUUCGAGCCGAGCUGAGCUUGAGCCCAACAAUUAUUAGACGAGCUGAGCUCGAGCUCGAAUGUAGUGGCUCGAGUCGAGCUCGAGCCAUGUAAUUUUUUUUCGAGCCGUGCUCGAGCUAGGCAAAGCUUGGCUCGACUCGGUUCGUGUACAGCUCUAUUGAAAAUGCUUGCCUGCAGUUUAUAUAGUUGCACUUUUCUUGGUUGAAUGAUAGACCCUUGUUUGACUAAGACUGAAUCUUGCAACUGGUUGGAGCUUCAUUGGGAAUUUUGUUCUUCUGAGAUAACUGAAAAGUU
rnacentral:lncRNA from 1 species